rnacentral:misc_RNA from 1 species
AACGCAACUGGCGCCGGUUUACCGGCAUGCCUGUUUCAGUGUGAUAGGAGAGAAAACUAUCAUUAUAAAAUAUUAUGCGAUUGAGGUACAUUUAUGUUCUUCUUUCGUUUAAUAUGAAGGUGUGGAAGAUGUGUAAUCUCUUACACUGGCUAAAGAAUUAUUCAUGCUUGUACGGGAUCUAGAUUAACGAGUUCUAGAAUUAUAUGCUUAGCUAUAAAAAGCAUCUAAUCAAAUAAAAAUUCCCAAAUUUAUCAUCUGAAAUCAGGCAGGAAUACCCGCUGAACUUAA